AAAUAACAAAUACAUUCUUCUCCUGAGGUGAACUUUUACGGGGUUUAAGAUGAAGAUCCUGCUCAUCAUCAUCAUCAUCAUCAUCAUCAUCCUCAGCCUGAUCUCAGGUCUGGUGACCAGCUUUGAUGCCAUUGGUUACUCUGGAGGUACAUUUAUUAUAGUUAUCAGCAGCCAACAGUGGAACUCAAACAGUAAGAUGUCUAUCUGCAAGAAUAAGCCAGGAGAAAAUGACUGCAAAUAUGUAUCGUAUUCUAAUAUGCAAGAUGAUGCUGGAUAUCCUGGAAAGUUCUCAUUUUAUGAAGAUUCACAAGGGAACCUAAAAGGAUACACAAUACUGAUCAAAGACCUGGACCCUCAGGAUGAAGGGGAAUACACAUUUAGAGUAGAAACUGAGUAUUGGGAAAUAAACCUAGUUCUGAAAAGUGAGAAAUGUUAGCUUAAGCAAAGAGUAUGCAUUUCAUACUGUUUUUUACAGUGAUUAAUUUCUAAUUUCUUCUUAUUUUAAACAGAUCCUUGUUGUGUGAAGUCAGAAAGAGUGACUGGGCAUCUGAAUGGGAAUGUUGUCAUUCGUUGUGACUAUCCAGAGGAGCAUAAAGAAAAAUGGAAAUACUUAUACAAGCUGAAAGAUCACAGAGUUGAAACAGUCAUUUACAGCAAUUCCAAGUAUAAAAAAUACGAGAAGGACAGAUUUUACAUUGUAGAUGAUACCUUUUCAAAUAUGUUCACUAUACGUAUCAGUAAUGUGAAUAGUGAAGAUGGAGGAGUUUAUUACUGUGGUGUACGGACUGGUGAAUACCCAUUUUACAGCCUCGCUACAAUCAAAACUGUCUACCUCCACACUACUGGUGAGAACAACCUUUCUGGACAAUGUUCAUCAAUUCAUUAUAACAGAAUUCAAUAUUAC
rnacentral:lncRNA from 1 species